rnacentral:rRNA from 1 species
UACGUAGGGGGCAAGCGUUGUCCGGAUUAUUGGGCGUAAAGAGCGUGUAGGCGGCCAGGUAGGUCUGCUGUGAAAACUCGAGGCUCAACCUCGAGACGUCGGCGGAAACCAUCUGGCUAGAGUCCGGAAGAGGAGAGUGGAAUUCCUGGUGUAGCGGUGGAAUGCGUAGAGAUCCGGAAGAACACCGGUGGCGAAGGCGGCCUGCUGGGCAGUUUAGCUGACACUGAGGCGCGACAGCGUGGGGAGCAAACAGG